rnacentral:rRNA from 1 species
AUUGAACGCUGGCGGCAGGCCUAACACAUGCAAGUCGAGCGGAUGAAGGGAGCUUGCUCCUGGAUUCAGCGGCGGACGGGUGAGUAAUGCCUAGGAAUCUGCCUGGUAGUGGGGGAUAACGUCCGGAAACGGGCGCUAAUACCGCAUACGUCCUGAGGGAGAAAGUGGGGGAUCUUCGGACCUCACGCUAUCAGAUGAGCCUAGGUCGGAUUAGCUAGUUGGUGGGGUAAAGGCCUACCAAGGGGACGAUCCGUAACUGGUCUGAGAGGAUGAUCAGUCACAUGGGAACUGAGACACGGUCCAGAGUCCUACGGGAGGGAGCAGUGGGGAAUAUGGGACAGUGGGCGAAAGCCUGAUCCAGCCAUGCCGCGUGUGUGAAGAAGGUCUUCGGAUUGUAAAGCAGGUUAAGUUGGGAGGAAGGGCAGUAAGUUAAUACCUUGCUGUUUUGACGGUACCAACAGAAGAAGCACCGGCUAACUUCGUG